rnacentral:rRNA from 1 species
ACGCGUAUGAAGGACAAGCUGAAAGACUUUUCUCAAUGAUGUAAGUGGUGGUGCAUGGUCGUUCGUAGUUCGUGGAUUGAUUUGUCUGGUCUAUUCCGAUAACGAGCGAGACCCCGGCGUUCCUAAUAGGGGUGGUAGCCCAGCUUGCCUGCCUAACGGCGGGCUUGCUGCCUGCCGCUUAAGAUUGACUUCUUAGACGUAUCAGGGCCGAUAAGGUCCUUGAAAUGGGUUAAUAACAGGUCAGUCAUGCCCUUAGAUGUUCUGGGCCGCACGCGCGUUACAAUGGCAUGUAUACACAGUGCCUAAAAGGGCGUAUCCGGGGCCUAACGGCUUCGGUAACCCUUAAUCCCUGCCUUGACUGGGAUAGACUAUUGCAAUUAUUGGUCUCCAACGAGGAAUUUUUAGUAGUCGUAGGUCAUUAACCUGUGACGA